AACGAACGCUGGCGGCAUGCCUAACACAUGCAAGUCGAACGAGACCUUCGGGUCUAGUGGCGCACGGGUGCGUAACGCGUGGGAAUCUACCCUCAGGUUCGGAAUAACUCAGAGAAAUUUGAGCUAAUACCGGAUGAUGACGUAAGUCCAAAGAUUUAUCGCCUGAGGAUGAGCCCGCUUAGGAUUAGGUAGUUGGUGAGGUAAAGGCUCACCAAGCCGACGAUCCUUAGCUGGUCUGAGAGGAUGAUCAGCCACACUGGGACUGAGACACGGCCAAGACUCCUACGGGAGGCAGCAGUGGGGAAUAUUGGACAAUGGGCGAAAGCCUGAUCCAGCAAUGCCGCGUGAGUGAUGAAGGCCUUAGGGUUGUAAAGCUCUUUUACCCGGGAUGAUAAUGACAGUACCGGGAGAAUAAGCUCCGGCUAACUCCGUG
rnacentral:rRNA from 1 species